UACAGAGGUCUCAAGCGUUGUUCGGAUUCAUUGGGCGUAAAGGGUGCGUAGGCGGCGCGGUAAGUCGGGUGUGAAAUCUCGGAGCUUAACUCCGAAACUGCAUUCGAUACUGCAGUGCUUGAGGACUGGAGAGGAGACUGGAAUUUACGGUGUAGCGGUGAAAUGCGUAGAUAUCGUAAGGAAGACCAGUGGCGAAGGCGGGUCACUGGACAGUUCCUGACGCUGAGACACGAAGGUCAGGGGAGCAAACGGG
rnacentral:rRNA from 1 species